rnacentral:pre_miRNA from 1 species
GGUGUAAGGAAUGAAGUUUGAUCCAAGAUCAAUCCCUCCGUAAUGGUCUUUUCAUCAUUUUAUAACUUGAUGGUUCAUGGAUGGAUCUCGGACCAGGCUUCAUUCCUCACGCC